rnacentral:rRNA from 1 species
AUUGAACGCUGGCGGCAGGCCUAACACAUGCAAGUCGAGCGGAUGAAGGGAGCUUGCUCCUGGAUUCAGCGGCGGACGGGUGAGUAAUGCCUAGGAAUCUGCCUGGUAUUGGGGGAUAACGUCCGGAAACGGGCGCUAAUACCGCAUACGUCCUGAUGUAGAAAGUGGGGGAUCUUCGGACCUCACGCUAUCAGAUGAGCCUAGGUCGGAUUAGCUAGUUGGUGGGGUAAAGGCCUACCAAGGCGACGAUCCGUAACUGGUCUGAGAGGAUGAUCAGUCACACUGGAACUGAGACACGGUCCAGACUCCUACGGGAGGCAGCAGUGGGGAAUAUUGGACAAUGGGCGAAAGCCUGAUCCAGCCAUGCCGCGUGUGUGAAGAAGGUCUUCGGAUUGUAAAGCACUUUAAGUUGGGAGGAAGGGCAGUAAGUUAAUACCUUGCUGUUUUGACGUUACCAACAGAAUAAGCACCGGCUAACUUCGUG